GCGAGCGAGCUGGGUAACGCUUUCCACCCCAGGAACGAUCCUGCCAGGCACAGCCCCACGGCUGCAGAGCGGACCCAUUUUCCAGAUUUGCAUGUGGGUCAGUGGAUUCCAGCCCUGGAAGAAGCAGUAAGCAGAAGAAACUGAAUCCUUUAGGGAAAAACUGGAGCAGGCUCCAAGAAGAAGAAGGAUUUCACAUGUCUUCAUGUGUCAGUCAUUUUGAGGACUCCAUCUUUCUCCACCAAAACACAGAAUGAGAAAGCUGAGUUCCAAAGAAGGGAGGGAAUUGAAUCCAAGUCCCACAAAGAAGUAGAAAAGCCAGCAUUGGGUGACAAAACUGGGGGCUGAAAAGACCUGUGGAUUUGCUCAAGGUUAGAAGUAAACAGACCGAAGUUCCCAUCCCUGGAAAGCAAUAGAUGAUCUCUAAGAUCCUUUCUACCUCUAAAAUUCUAUGACUCGAUGAAUUACUUCUAGGAAAGGGAUGUCACACAAGCCGUAGUUAUCUUUAUGAUGACACUUCUGCUUAUGUUCAUCUUGAGCACAUCAAGGCAAAAACACAAAAUUUCCCACGAAGUGAUGUUUCUUCGAUUUGUAACUAUGCCCAAAAGGUCUUUAAUCUGCAUAUAUCCUUUGACCCAGAAAUACCACUAC